AAAUACCAAUUCCCGCUUGAUCACCGAAGUUAAGCAACGUUGAAUCUGGUCAGUACUUUGAUUAGUGACCGUUCGGGAAUAACAGGUGCU